rnacentral:misc_RNA from 1 species
AUGCUUGGUUUCCGAGGCUGCAGGUUAGGUGGCUUUUCCUAUGAGCAUUUUAAUCUAAUGUUUUCUGAAAUAUAUUUCAUAAACUAAACGUACCCCCUCCUAGUCCACAUUAGAUCCAUCCCUGCUUCAGAGUAUAGAUUGAUCCUCAAAUUUUCUGGCCCAUGUCUUGACUAAUGCAGCACCAAAGGCUGUGUCAUCCAUAAAAAAAGAUAGUAGUCAUGAAAAUACAAGUUUAUCAAGUAAUAAACUGAAAAAUUACUCAGGUUAUUUGAUUGUUGACAAGUGGAAUUUUUUUAACAUGUACACAGGCUAGG